ensembl:lncRNA
GGGAUUGGAAAGCACAGCAGAGUGGGGACAGCAAAGCAGAGGGGACAGCACAGCACAGAGAGGGGACAGCAGAGCAGAGAGGGGACAGCAACGCAGAGAGAGGGGUCAGCACAGCACAGAAAGGGGGACAGCAGAGCAGAGAGGGGACUGCAUGGAUAGGGGACAGCACAGCAGAGAGGGGACAGCACAGCACAGAGAGGGGACAGCACAGUAGAGGGACAGCACAGCAAUGGGACAGCAAAGCUGAGAGAGGGGACAGCACAGCACAGAGAAGGGACAGCAGAGCAGAGAGGGGACUGCAUGGAUAGGGGACAGUACAGCAGAGUGGGGACAGCACAGCAAUGGGACAGCACAGGGAUUGGAAAGCACAGCAGAGAGGGGACAGCAAAGCAGAGAGAGGGGACAGCACAGCAGAGAGGCGACUGCAUGGAUAGGGGACAGCACAGCAGAGUGGGGACAGCAGAGCAAUGGGACAGCAAAGCAGAGAGAGGGGACAGCACAGCACAGAGAGGGGACAGCACAGUAGAGUGGGGACAGUGCAGGGAUGGGACAGUGGGGAGAGGGGACAAUGCAGAGCUGGGACGACACAGAGAGGGGACAGCACAGCAAUGGGACAGCAGAGCACAGAGAGGGGACAGCACAGCACAGAGAGGGGACAGCAGAGCAGAGAGGGGACUGCAUGGAUAGGGGACAGCACAGCAGAGUGGGGACAGUACAGCAAUGGGACAGCACAGGGAUUGGAAAGCACAGCAGAGUGGGGACAGCACAGGACAGAGAGGGGACAGCACAGCAGAGUGGGGACAGUGCAGGGAUGGGACAGUGGGGAGAGGGGACAAUGCAGAGGUGGGACGACACAGAGAGGGGACAGCACAGCAAUGGGACAGCACAGCAAGGGGACAGCACAGGGAUUGGAAAGCACAGCAGAGUGGGGACAGCAAAGCAGAGAGAGGGGACAGCACAGCACAGAGAGGGGACAGCAGAGCAGAGAGGGGACAGCACAGCACAGCACAGAGAGGGGACAGCAGAGCAGAGAGGGGACAGCAGAGCAAUGGGACAGCACAGCAAUGGGACAGCAAAGCUGAGAGAGGGGACAGCAGAGCAGAGAGAGGGGGACAGCAGAGCAGAGAGAGGGGACAGCAGCAGCAAUGGGACAGGACAGGGACUGGAAAGCACAGCAGAGAGGAGACAGCAAAGCAGAGAGGGGACAGCACAGCAGAGAGAGGGGACAGAAGAGUGGGGACAGUGCAGGGAUGGGACAGUGGGGAGAGGGGACAAUGCAGAGGUGGGACGACACAGAGAGGGGACAGCAGCAGCAAUGGGACAGCACAGCACAGAGAGGGAGACAGCAGAGCACAGAGAGGGGACAGCACAGCACAGAGAGGGGACAGCACAGGGAUUGGAAAGCACAGCAGAGUGGGGACAGCAAAGCAGAGAGAGGGGACAGCACAGCACAGAGAGGGGCAGCACAGUAGAGUGGGGACAGUGCAGGGAUGGGACAGUGGGGAGAGGGGACAAUGCAGAGGUGGGACGACACAGAGAGGGGACAGCACAGCAAUGGGACAGCACAGCAAUGGGACAGCACAGGGACUGGAAAGCACAGCAGAGCGGGGACAGCAAAGCAGAGAGAGGGGACAGCACAGCAAUGGGACAGCAAAGCAGAGAGAGGGGACAGUGCAGGGAUGGGACAGCACAGGGAUGGGACAGGGGGGAGAGGGGACAGCACAGGGAUGGGACAACAGAGAGGGGACAGCACAGAGAGGGGGGACAGCACAGCACAGAGAUGGGACUGCACAGAGAGGGGACAGCACAGCACAGAGGGCACAGCACAGAGCUGCCCCCACCCAAGCAGUGGAUGUGGCCCAUCUCCAUUUCAGUACAGCAUUUGGCACCGCCUCCCACUGCGUUCCCACAGCUGAACUGAGGGGGUGACGCGGAGGGGGGACGGGACGGGGAGGGGACAGUGCAGGGAGGGGGGGAGGGAGCAGAGAGGGGAGGACACGGAGGUGGGAUGGACAACGCGGGGAUGGGACGAUGCUGCAGGGAGGGGAUGGUGGAGAGAGGAGACAGCGCAGGGAACAGAGAGUGUGGCCGUGGAAUCAGAGUCCUACAAUGGGCUGGGUUGGAAAGGGCCACAGUGAUCAUGCAGUUCCAACUGGAAGGGUCCUUCCAGAUCACAGAGACAUCGAAUGGUUGGGUUGGAAGGGUCCUUACAGGUCACAGAGCCAUGGAAGGGUUGGGUUGGGUUGGAUGGGUCAUUAUAGAUCACAGGGCCGUGGAAUUGUUGGGUUGGGUUGGAAGGGUCCUUGAAGAUCAUAAAGCCAUGGAAUGGUUAGGUUGGGUUGGAAGGGUCCUUCCAGAUCACAGAGUCAUGGAAUGGCUGGUUUGGGUUGGAAGGGUCCUUGAAGAUCAUAAAGCCAUGGAAUGGUUGGGUUCGGUUGGAAGGGUCCUUCCAGAUCACAGGGCCAUGGAAUUGUUGGGUUGGAAGGGUCCUUACAGGUCACAGAGCCACGGAAGGGUUGUGUUGGAAGGAUCGUUGAAGAUCACAGAGUCAUGGAAUGGUUGGGUUGGAUUUGAAGGGUCCUUGAAGAUCAGACAACCACAGAAUGGUUGGGUUGAAAGGGUCCUUACAGGUCACAGAGCCAUGGAAUGGUUGGGUUGGGUUGGAUGGGUCAUUAUAGAUCACAGGGCCGUGGAAUUGUUGGGUUGGGUUGGAAGGGUCCUUGAAGAUCAUAAAGCCAUGGAAUGGUUAGGUUGGGUUGGAAGGGUCCUUCCAGAUCACAGAGUCAUGGAAUGGCUGGUUUGGGUUGGAAGGGUCCUUGAAGAUCAUAAAGCCAUGGAAUGGUUGGGUUCGGUUGGAAGGGUCCUUCCAGAUCACAGGGCCAUGGAAUUGUUGGGUUGGAAGGGUCCUUACAGGUCACAGAGCCACGGAAGGGUUGUGUUGGAAGGAUCGUUGAAGAUCACAGAGUCAUGGAAUGGUUGGGUUGGAUUUGAAGGGUCCUUGAAGAUCAGACAACCACAGAAUGGUUGGGUUGAAAGGGUCCUUACAGGUCACAGAGCCAUGGAAUGGUUGGGUUGGGUUGGAUGGGUCCUUACAGAUCACAGGGCCAUGGAAUGGUUGGGUUGGGUUGGAAGGGUCCUUCAAGAUCACAGAGCCAUGGAAUGGUUGGGUUGGGUUUAUACGCUCCCUUUAGGUCCUGGAAGGCCACAAUGAGGUCUCCCCGCAGCCUUCUUUUUCCAAGCUGAACAAGCCCAGUUCCCUCAACAUUUCCCCAUAGGAGAGCUGCUCCAGCUCUCCAGCUCUAGCUGAUGGUGAUUAAGCUUGCUGAUGGCACACAGCUGGGAGCAGAGGGCCGUGCUGCCAUCCAUUGAGCCCUGGGCAGGGAGAAACGGGAUGGAACACAACAACUGCAGCGUGGAGUAUUGCAUGUGGGCAUGGAGAAGGCCAUGGGCAAGUACAGGUUGGGGACAGAGCAGAAUAAAGGGACCUGGGGGGUCCUGGUGGGCAGCAGGAGGACCAUGAGACAGCAGUGUGCUUUGGUGGCCAAGAAGGCCAAUGGUGGCCUGUACAGGAGGAUCAUGAGCCAACACUGGGCUUUGGUGGCCAAGAAGGCCAAUGGUGGCCUGGGCAGGAGGACCAUGAGACAACAGUGUGCUU